UAACACGUGGAUAAUCUGCCCUGCACAGGGGGACAACAGCUAGAAAUGGCUGCUAAUACCGCAUAAGCGCACAAAACCGCAUGGUUUGGUGUGAAAAACUGAGGUGGUAUGAGAUGGACCCGCGUCUGAUUAGCUAGUUGGAGAGGUAACGGCUCACCAAGGCAACGAUCAGUAGCCGACCUGAGAGGGUGACCGGCCACAUUGGGACUGAGACACGGCCCAAACUCCUACGGAAGGCAGCAG
rnacentral:rRNA from 1 species